AUUGAACGCUGGCGGCAGGCUUAACACAUGCAAGUCGAGCGGGGGAGGUUGCUUCGGUAACUGACCUAGCGGCGGACGGGUGAGUAAUGCUUAGGAAUCUGCCUAUUAGUGGGGGACAACAUUCCGAAAGGGAUGCUAAUACCGCAAACGCCCUACGGGGGAAAGCAGGGGAUCUUCGGACCUUGCGCUAAUAGAUGAGCCUAAGUCGGAUUAGGUGGUUGGUGGGGUCAAGGACUACCAAGGCGACGAGCUGGAGCGGGUCUGAGAGGAUGAUCGACGACACUGAGGCUGAGACACGGCCCAGACUCCGACGGGGGGCAGGAGUGGGGAAUAUUGGACAAUGGGCGGAAGGCUGAUCCAGCCAUGCGGCGUGUGUGAAGAAGGCCUUUUGGUUGUAAAGCACUUUAAGCGAGGAGGAGGCUCUUAAGGUUAAUACCCUUGAUGAGUGGACGUUACUCGCAGAAUAAGAACCGGCUAACUCUGUGCCAGCCGCCGCCGUAAAAC
rnacentral:rRNA from 1 species